rnacentral:rRNA from 1 species
AUUGAACGCUGGCGGCAGGCCUAACACAUGCAAGUCGAGCGAGCGGCGGACGGGUGAGUAAUGUAUGUGGACUGCCCGAGAGAGGGGAAGAAAUCAUCGAACAGGUAGCUAAUCACGCACACUCUCGGAUUACACACAUGGGAUUAGCUCGUAGGUGAGGUAAUGGUUCACAACGGCGACGAUCCCGAGCUGUUCUGAGAGGAUGAUCAGCCACACUGGGACGGAGACACGGCCCAGACGCCUACGGAGGCAGCAGUGGGGAAUAUUGCACAAUGGGCGCAAGCCUGAUGCAGCAAUGCCGCGUGUAUGAAGAAGGCCCUAGGGUUGUAAAGUACUUUCAGUCGGGAGGCGUUACCGACAGAAGAAGCACCGGCUAACUCCGUGCCAGCAGCCGCGGUAAUAC